GGGGGCGAACUAGAUUCGACGGGGAUGGAUGGGCCGUAGGACAGCGGGUCGAGCUCCUGUGCCUCGUUAAACCAUGGGAACCUUAUAACUGCCAAAGACAACAACAGUUUCGAUUACGCCUUAGCUGCCUAAAGUCAGCUAACGUUCAGGUUUUCGGUUCCUGCCCCGGAGCUUGAACGCAAAUAGACAGGAUACCCGCGAGGACCGCCUGCACUAGCGGGGAAACGAAGGGCUGGUUCACUCCGAAUGGUGCUCUGGGCUGUUGGGAGUGACGAGAAUAAUCUCAGAGCUACACCCGUAGAAAUCCUUCGGAACAUGUUCUCGGACGGGACGGGCAGCACGUCCCCGCCUCCACCA
rnacentral:tmRNA from 1 species